AAUCAUGUGAUGAGAAAAUAACUGCAACAAUAUGAUGGAUUCGUUCUAUGAUUCCUAGUAUUUAAGUCUCUGAUGAUU
rfam:Cicer arietinum chromosome Ca2, whole genome shotgun sequence.